rnacentral:rRNA from 1 species
UACGUAGGGGGCAAGCGUUUGUCCGGAAUCAUUGGGCGUAAAGCGCGUGUAGGCGGCUUGGUAAGUCUGCUCUGAAAGCCCGGGGCUCAACCCCGGGAGGCGGGUGGAUACUGUCAAGCUUGAGUCCGGAAGAGGAGUGUGGAAUUCCUGGUGUAGCGGUGAAAUGCGCAGAUAUCAGGAGGAACACCAGUGGCGAAGGC